UCAAGCUCGACAAGAUUCGCAAUCGAAAUAAUGAAGUUACCGUUGCUUUUCUUCAUUUUGACGCAACUGGUCAUUGCCAUGUUGAGUGCUCACUUAGAAAAACGACGUGCACGUAAACCAACGGCUAUCGAUCUUAAUUCGAAAUACUACCAGGGUAAAUUUUCCGUAUGUAAACCUUUCCGCCCAUUUAAUCCAGUCGAAGCUGUCCGAGCACAGGCCUUUGCCACGAGCAUAUUUAACCGCUGUGGGCCACGAAAUAUCAUCGAAUUCGCCACCAGAUACGGUGUGCCCGCUUAUGCAAUAGAGAAACUGGCAAAACUUCUCUGCUUUGAUGCAACUAUAGUUUACGCCAUAAUUGCUGAUGAUGGUGGACUAAGGAUACCUGCGAAUACACCUUACGAUAGGAUUCAAAACUAUUCGAGAAUUAUGAAGUCCUAUCUGUUGGCCCCUGGCAUUCAAUAUCAACAUAAAUUUCGCGGCGAUACGUAUGUCUUUUCUCAGGGAGGGCUAUACGACUUCAUAAGCAAUAUAACCGAUUGUGCUAUUAAUCCCAAAUUUCCGCCACACCCUGAAGUUGACUUCUACAAAUACGUUAUCCACUAUUUUCUGGUAAUGGUACUGUAACGGGUUCACAAACAGCGACGAAAGGAAAACAUUUUCCGUCAACAUCUUACCAACAUGUGAAAUUUAUUAGAGGCCUCUAUUCAGGCAACAACUUCGUGACGGUACGUUCCGAUGUGUCCUUUUGCGGAGCAGCACUCAUCCCUAAUCAAACGAAAAGGGCUGGGCUUAAGAGCUUUGAUGCCAAAGUCGAACAACAUGGGCCAUAAUUAUGUUAUGCCGCAUACGAACAAUCUCACGAUAAAACCAUGUCUACCAGUAGGACCAGACCUAAAUUAUAAUGCGACGUCGAAGGUGAAUGUAAAACCAGAUUUGGACCAUUUGAAAACAUCUUAGCCUUUUAAAUCUAGUCUCAGGUAUGAAUGCAAUUGGCAUUCUUUUUUCGCCUUUAUAACCUACGAUUAUUUCCACACACUGACGAAUUAAUAAAUAUAUCUAACCAUGAAAUGUUACGGUUAAAUUCACAUGAAAAUAAUUAAAUUUUUCAUUAAAAGUGUAUGCUUACCAUCGAGAAGCAAAAUUCCGGCUCCUAUAAGACUAAAAUCAGUUUGACUUUUCUUAGUUUUUACCUUAUUCAGUUGUAACGAAGUGUGAAAUACGCCA